rnacentral:rRNA from 1 species
AAUAGAUACCCGGUAGUCCACGCCGUAAACGAUGAGUGCUAAGUGUUAGGGGGUUUCCGCCCCUUAGUGCUGCAGCUAACGCAUUAAGCACUCCGCCUGGGGAGUACGGUCGCAAGACUGAAACUCAAAGGAAUUGACGGGGGCCCGCACAAGCGGUGGAGCAUGUGGUUUAAUUCGAAGCAACGCGAAGAACCUUACCAGGUCUUGACAUCCCAUUGACCACUAUGGAGACAUAGUUUUCCCUUCGGGGACAACGGUGACAGGUGGUGCAUGGUUGUCGUCAGCUCGUGUCGUGAGAUAUUGGGUCAAGUCCCGCAACGAGCGCAACCCUUGUUCUUAGUUGCCAUCAUUUAGUUGGGCACUCUAAGGAGACUGCCGGUGACAAACCGGAGGAAGGUGGGGAUGACGUCAAAUCAUCAUGCCCCUUAUGACCUGGGCUACACACGUGCUACAAUGGACGGUACAAACGGUUGCCAACCCGCGGAGGGGGAGCUAAUCCGAUAAAACCGUUCUCAGUUCGGAUUGUAGGCUGCAACUCGCCUACA